ACAUCAUAACAUGCUGAGUAGGAGGGGUUAUAAAGGGCAAGUGGGGCAAAAAGAUAUUGAGACAGACAUCCCAGGGGCUCUGCCACUCUAUCAUGGUCCUGUGGUUACCUCUAUUCUUGACAGUCUCACUGGAGAGUAAAAGCUGGGAAUGUUUGUCUGAGAGGCCAGAGAAGCCAGGACUUGCCUAAGAACAUCCUGAGAACCAGUUGACAGAAAAGUGGUCACAAAAUACAAGCCAAAGACUGCUGAAUCUACUCCCUUAGAAGGAAAUGAUCCCUGCUGGACCCACCAGAACCAUAGCUUUCCAUUCUGAGGAAAACAGGGAUUUGCACAUCCCACUCCUACUUUCUGGAAGCUCCUUGAACAUUUCCUUGGGAUUUUGAGGAAUCUUGGAGAGAAGAAUAAAGGGGAGUGUCAAAAGGGCCUUGUGAAACAUCUGCCUGAAUAAGGAGGAGAACUGAGGAAGCCAAAGGGGAAAGGAGUUGAGCACAUUGAUUCCUUUGGAAAAAUCCCAAGGAAGAGAUCAGAAGAAGGCUAAGAUAUAUCAUCCCCUGGGCAGGAUCCCUGUUUAUCUGGUUAUUUAGAUUUGGAAGAGCACUCAGCCAUUCUCUUUCCUCACAUAUUCCGGAAUUGCUAUGUUGUCUUUAUGGAUUCAUAUUAGGAAUUCUCCUCUAUACCCCCUUGGUGUCCAAAAUUCAGCAUUGACCAGUCCUUCAUAGGCAUUUAAUGACUCCCUUUGUGACCUGUGGAGUCAAUUGGUGUGAAAACUCUUGUAUUUGGGCUGCAGAGAUUCACUGUAUUCUCCCUUGGGAAGUGCCAUUUGAUUAUUCAAGUGUGCUUCUCCUUGUUCACAUACAUGUGCUCUCGGGUAGCUUAUAUCAUAUAUGAGUCCUGCACUGGUGAGAGCUGAUUCCAGGCAGAUUCCUCUUCCUGUGGUCCACAUAUUCCCUCUUUAUUCCCAUAUGAGAGGAAUGAGACACUUGUCUCUGGACACCAACAAGAGUCUUCCAAAGCCCAUCCCAGGGAGAAAAGAAGCAGAAUACUUUCCAGUAUACAGAAAGGAAAGAGGAGAAGCCCAUAUAUAAAUCAGAGAAAGGAAGAUAAAACUCUUAUCUGUCUGGUUAUCUUUCUCUCUCUCUCUCUCUCUCUCUCUCUCUCUCUCUCUAUCUAUCUAUCUAGAAUAUAUGUAGAUAUAUAGGAAGAGAGAGAAUCUCUGAGUGCCUAGAGAUGGAGGAGGAGGAGGACAAGGGUUGAUUGCUGAGGUUUUUGAGGACCUAGGAUGUGUAAGACCUGGAAAUUAAUUGAUAGAACCAGUAUAAGUAAUUCUGGAGAGGAAUAAGCAGGGGGAAGCCUGAGGAUUUAGAAAUGUGAAUAUAUUCUCUUUCCUCAUACCCAGGAGAUUUCAUAAAUUCUCUGCUUUUUUAUACACAUAAAUGUUCCUUUAUUUUUUGCAAACUAAUUAUUAUUUUUUUGUAUACUUUAUUUUUUCAUUGUAAGUUAUUUAUUUAGUGAAUUUAGAACAUUAUUCCUUGGUUACAAGAAGCAUAUUCUUUCCCUCCCUUUCCUCCUCCCUCUCUUCCAGUAGCUGACUCACAAUUCCAGUGGGUAUUACAUGUUUGCUUGAUCAAAAUCUAUUUCCAUGUUGUUGAUGUUUGCAUUAGGAUGUUCAUUUAGAGUAUGCAUCCUCAAUCAUAUCCCCUUGACCCAUGUAAUCAAGCAGUUGUUUUUCUUCUGUGUUUCUACUCCCACAGUUUUUCCUCUGAAUGUGGACAGGGUUCUUUCUCGCAGAUCCCUCCAAGUUGUUCAGGAUCACAACAUUGCCACUAAUGAAGAAACCCAUUACAUUUGAUUGUACUACAGUGUAUCAGUCUCUGUAUACAAUGCUCUCCUGGUUCUGCUCCUCUGACUCUGCAUCAAUUGCUGGAGGUCAUUCCAGUUCACAUGGAAUAGCUCCAGUUCAUUUUUCCUUUGAGCACAAUAGUAUUCCUACACCAACUGAUACCAGAAUUUGUUCAGUCAUUCCUCAAUUGAAGGACAUCCCCUCAUUUUCCAAUUUUUUGUCACCACAAAGAAUGCAGCUAUCAAUAUUCUUGUACAAGUCUUUUUCCUUAGUAUCUCUUUGGGGUACAAACCCAGCAGUGGUAUGGCUGGAUCAAAGGGCAUAUAGUGUUGUCAUUCCCUUUGGGCAUAAUUUCAAAUUGCCUCCAGAAUUGUUGGAUCAAUUCACAACUCUCUGAUUAUGAGGGAUUUAGAUCAUUUUUCAUGUGUUUAUUAAUAGUUUUGAUUUUUUUAACUGAAAAUUGCCUAAUCAUGUCCCUUGCCCAUUUAUCAAUUGUAGAAUAGCUUGAUUUUUUUGUACAACUGAUUUAGCCCUUUAUAAAUCUGAGUAAUUAGACCUUUGUCAGAGGUUUUGGUUAUGAAGAUUGUUUCCCAAUUUGUUGCUUUCCUUCAAAUAUGUUUGUAUUGGUUUUGUUUGUACAAAAACUUUUUAAUUUAAUGUGAUCAAAAUAAUUUAUUUUACAUUUUGUGAGUUUUAUAGCCCUUGCUUGGUUUUAAAGUAUAAGUGUUUCUAUUAUAUGGGAAUGUAGAGAAUAGAUAUAUCAACAAAAUGGGCUGGAUCUUUCUGUAUAUAGAGUUAUAUGGUCAAAUACUGAGAUCUGUCAAGCAGGAAGGGAAGGAGGAAAUGAUUAGAUCCGUCUGAUGAGAAUAGUCUGAUGACACAAAGACCCCAUUACAUCAUAAUAUGCUGACUGGAGGGGGCAGGGUCAUAAGAGGCAGCAGAAGUGUAGGGAUAGAGACAGCCCUGGCGCUCUGCUCAUCCUUCACAGUCACUAUAGUCAUCUCCCUCCUUGACAGACUCCUUGGAGAGAGCAAAAGUAAGGAGUCUCCAUCUCCCCUCACCCUCCUGAACAAGCCUAACCUCUUGGAGCCCAUCAUAGCAUUGAUGGGCUGCUAAUGGAUGUCUGAGAGGGGAGAGGGGUCCAGAAAUUUGCCCAAAGGCCAUUCUGAGGAUCGGUUGGCAGAAAAGUGGUCACAACACACAAGCCACAGACUGCUGGAUCCAGUCCCAAAAGAAAGAAAACAUCCCUGCUCAUCCCUCCGGAACAACAGUUUUCCUUUCUGAGAGGGAGGAGGCCGUUUGACUGGGUGAAGGGAGCUGCAGAGGAAUGUAGAAGAGGAGUCUGAAAUGGCUUGUAGUUUUGAGUCUAAAGGAGCCUGUAUCUCAGAGGUCAUCUUGUUCAACCUCCUCAUUUGACAUAAAUGGGGCUGCUAAUGUAUGUCUGAGAGGGAGAGGGGUCCAGGAAAUUUACCCAAAGGCCAUUCUGAGGUUCGGUUGGCAGAAAAGUGGUCACAAAACACAAGCCACAGACUGCUGCAUCCAGUGCCAAAAGAAAGAAAAGAUCCCUGCUCAUCCGUCCGGAACAACAGCUUUCCAUUCUGAGGGCACACUGAGGAUCACUUGUCAGAAAAGUCAUCAGGAAACACAAGCGACAGACUGCGGAAUCCAGGUCCGAGGGAAAGAAAUUAUCCGUGCUGGUCCCCCCAGAACUGUGGCUUUCCAUUCUGAACCUGAAGACAAAGAUGAGGCCUGAAGCAGGAGUCCAGUGCAGUUAUUUGUAAACAUGGGGCCAGGGAUAUGAGAGAGCAUCCUCCCAGGAAGGCUAAAGGCCCUUCUUAAUAGGCCCACCCUUAUUCCUACAAAUACUCUAGUUAACAGAAAUCUAAAAGAAAGCACAAAGCAGAAGGUGUCUCCACUCCAACCUGACAUCUUCCAACCUGCUACCAUGGAUCCAACAAAUGUUGCAGUGCAGCAUGGGAUACUCCCACAUAAACCCCACCCAGCCCCUCAGCCAGCCACACACCCAGAGAAGACCCUUCCAUGCUCACAUGCAAAUUCUUGUUCCCCCAAAUCACUCCAUAAAAUGUUGUCAUCCCCAUCCAUUGGCAGUUACGGUGGCAGAAGCCCAAAGGCGGCCCACAGAGGCACUUUCAGAUACACAUGCCUGACUGAGGCAGAAGAGUCAUGGCAACCCAAGGCAACACAGGCUGGCAAUAUUCAUUCCUAUGGAAUGCGAUGGUGGAAGAGUCAGACAUCUCUCCUCCUCGACUAGUCUGUGAUGUUCUACCAGCCAGAGGGAGAGUGCUUCUCCCCCAACAUGCAAUGAUCAUGGAUAUCUCUCACUCAACUUGUCUCUCUCUGCUUCCACAAAGACUGAAGAAGAGCAAGAAUUAAGAUGCAGGAGCCCAAUUCAAUGUAGCAUUGGGGCUCCGAGUAUAGGGAACAGCUUUCCCUGGAGGGCAAUAAACACUUCAUCACCACCCAAA